UGAUCAGAGAUAAAAAUUGGAGGAAACUUUUUUUAAUUGGUAAUAGAGAUGGAGUGAUUUAAUGUAAGCAUGGUAAUGUUUUCUAAAAAUCCUUUUUUUUUAAGUUAUCAAUACGUGAUUGAUGCGUGUAAUUAUUAUUAAAUAAAUAAUAUAAAUGUAAAUAUAUAUAAAACUUAUAUAAAUGAGAUGAACAAACAGUUAGACAAUAUAAAGGAAAGUUGUAGCUUCGAAAAAGACAGUUCGCGACAUUAUUUUAGUUAUAAACGUGCUAAAGAACAUUACGUUUGAAGGAAGAAAACAUACUUGAAAUGUAUCCAUUUACAAAAUCUGGAGACAAAAAGAAGGAAAAGUCAGUUGACAAGAAGAAAUUCGUUAUAAAAACAACAAAAGUAAAAUGUGUUACCAUUGUUUCAUCAAGUGGUUCGAAAUUUAAACUGAAGUAAAUACAUUUAUGUUUUAAAAAGAGAGAGGUAUCUUUGAAUGCAAACCAGAGAAUGCAAUCACUGCAAAGAAUGUACGAAACGUGAAGGAUUCAGACGACUAAAUACAUUUGAAUUAUUAUGGACAUCAGUGUCCCAGUUGCAAAGAUGUAAUUUCACAGACAUGCGAAUAUACUGUGUCAACAAAUAAAUCUUAAAAAGUAUUUUCAAAGAUAUUUCCAGAGAGAACUUUACUUGAUCGAAUUUGGUUUUAUAGUAAUAUUUAUAAUUCGUUCAUAGUAUGACUGUUUGAUUAUUUUUGAAAUUUUUCUAAUGUCAACUGUAUGUGCGUAGUAUAAGCUUGUUAGUUGCAAGGACUACAAUGUUGUUGAUUGUUUGUAAAUACCAUUUCUUGUCCAUAUAUUAUUUAUCAUAUAUAACAUAUAUAAGUUACUGAAUAGAAUCGUCUGUCCAAUGUUUGCUUCAAGAGAUCUGAUUUAGCAGAUGUGUAGGUCUGGUAAACACCAGUGAUAAUGCCCUACAUACAGUUUCACUUAUGCCCCCGAAAAAUCGUAAAA